CCUACGGGUGGCAGCAGUGAGGAAUAUUGGUCAAUGGGCGCAAGCCUGAACCAGCCAUGCCGCGUGCAGGAAGACGGUCCUAUGGAUUGUAAACUGCUUUUAUUAGGGAAUAAACCUCUUUACGUGUAGAGAGCUGAAGGUACCAAAUGAAUAAGCACCGGCUAACUCCGUGCCAGCAGCCGCGGUAAUACGGAGGGUGCAAGCGUUAUCCGGAAUCAUUGGGUUUAAAGGGUCCGCAGGCGGUCUUAUAAGUCAGUGGUGAAAUCCUACAGCUCAACUGUAGAACUGCCAUUGAUACUGUAAGACUUGAAUUCGAUCGAAGUGGGCGGAAUAUGACAUGUAGCGGUGAAAUGCUUAGAUAUGUCAUAGAACACCGAUAGCGAAGGCAGCUCACUAGGUCUGGAUUGACGCUCAGGGACGAAAGCGUGGGGAGCAAACAG
rnacentral:rRNA from 1 species